UAUAUACAAUACUAAGAGAAAAAGUGACAGCACGAAAGCUUUCAACAAUGGGCACUUAGCGUGCUGACAAGUUGAAGCUUUUGCGUGGCCCGUCAGUCAGGUGGCUCAUAAGAAAUAUAAACGGACUUGGACCUCUUGCAAAACAGUCUCGGUUUGUUGCAAUCUUCAAAGUCGAGGCAUAACUUCCUUUAUUAACUGCUGCUGAGAGAGAGUUGCUUCAA